GGCAGUUGCAAAUUCAUUCAACACCCCAAGGCCGUGUAACUGUAAAGGACAAGACAUGAUGAAUACACCCUGCCUUUGUCAGCAGCCUUCCAGACGCAAACGCAAGCGUGGAGGACGAAUGAAAAAGCUGUGCCAGAGGAAAAAGAGGAACCUGAAGAAGUGCAGGGGUUUUUUCCAACCUCAGAAAGGCAGUAAUACCAGCAAGUUUCGUCCCAGUGUUCCAAUAUGAACAACACUAAGAGCAAACCUUUAUAAAUACAAAAAUACUUACUGUUUAUGUAUGUGGAUGAUGCUAUGAUCAUUGACCUAUACUAUACAACUCCUAUAUUUGUUUGUAUCCAAGCUA